GGUCGUCGAAGGACAGCAACAUGUAGAUCGUUGUUGCUAAAACUAAUUUUUUUAUCGUUGUCCGUGAUGAGGGGUCAGGGGUGGCUCGGCGUGUGACGUACGAGGGAAUAGCUGUUGUAGCGGUAAGGAGCCGGCCGGUCAGGUGACGGCGAGGCGGCGGAGCAGCCGAUCCGGCGGCGCGGUGGUAGCCUCGAAGUACCGGCGGCCGUGGAAGUUGGCAACGGUGUGUGGCGGGCCCGAACGGGUGCAGGUCUAGCUCGGCCGUUUGCCUGCCUAGACAGAAGGGGCACAGGCAGGGUCAGGAGCGACGGAGCGGCCUCAGCAGUUCCGCGGCCGGGAGUAGGUGGUUCAGUUGAUGUAGCGUGGGUACGGAGCAGAGUCCUCCUCGUCGCUCGGUCGCGGGCGAAGACGUAGCUCGUGACGAGCUAGGCUGGCGUAGCGGGUUCCGGGUCAGGCGGCGGCGGAAGGAGGCGGGAGCGGCAGGAGGGCGGCCUCCAGCGGCGGUCGUACUUGCAGCGGAGGAGUUUGAGAGGCGGGCGGAGGCCGGUGCAGGAGCUGGCCUAGGCGGCCUAGAAGUAGCGGCGCGGUUCAGGGCGUCGGCGGACUGUGGCGGCGCAGAAGAAGGGGACGCGACGAGCUCUUGCUCGUCUCGGCGGCAAGGGAGUGAAUUUCUCUCUGGCGCCACGUUAAAGACCUUUUGACUUCCCGAAAAAACGUUUUGUCGGUACUGCUGCCUGCUGGUCUUUGCGAUCGGCGCGAAAUAAUAAUAAUAAUAAUAAUGAUCGUUUGUCCGGGCACGCAACGUUGCCCUCCUUCUUUUUCAUUGUACCUUGUUAUCGAAGUGAUUCUAGUUGAUUUCUGUAAUAAUAAUACUGUAUAUUUGCAAGCACAAAACCACAACUACCAAAUAAUACUGUAAUAAUAAUAGGUCGCAAAACUAAAAGCCAAGCUCUAAAAAAAGCGGGGUCCGGCUCUACCGGCUUAAAACCGGUAAAAGUUUAUAAAACCGACUUUAAACUGGUUUAAAACUGACUUUAAACUGAGUUUAAGCUAGUUUUAAACGGUUUAAAUUGGUUAAAGCCAGUUUUCUAUAUAGAGCGGGCUCCGGCUCUACCGGCUUUAAGCCGGCUUUAGGCAAAAAGAGCCGGUUUUAAAUUUUGUGUUGACCCUAGUUGUUACAAACUUCUGUUAAAUAUAAGCGACCUGCACGUUCGAUAUACAAAAAUCAACAAGCACACAGAAUUGGGGACAUAUAUAUAAUAGUCAAACAGAUAUAUAUAAUAUCCGAUAUACUCAAGCAUUCCCUUUAUUUCGCUUGGUUUAGGUUGGUUUUAUCUUAUCAUAGGCCGUUGCACACGUAUCUGAGUCUGUUGUUUCAUGAUGUGCAGGCGCAUAAUCUCUACAAAUGGCUAGACCACUUGCUUACUCGGGACGUACUACUCGAAGAACAUACACUGGAAAACAGGGUCCGAAGAUCCGAAGCGGAAAAU
rnacentral:rRNA from 1 species